rnacentral:rRNA from 1 species
GGGUAGUUUGACUGGGGCGGUCUCCUCCCAAAGCGUAACGGAGGAGCACGAAGGUUGGCUAAGCAUGGUCGGACAUCAUGCGGUUAGUGCAAAGGCAUAAGCCAGCUUGACUGCGAGAGUGACGGCUCGAGCAGGUACGAAAGUAGGUCUUAGUGAUCCGGUGGUUCUGAAUGGAAGGGCCAUCGCUCAACGGAUAAAAGGUACUCCGGGGAUAACAGGCUGAUACCGCCCAAGAGUUCAUAUCGACGGCGGUGUUUGGCACCUCGAUGUCGGCUCAUCACAUCCUGGGGCUGAAGUAGGUCCCAAGGGUAUGGCUGUUCGCCAUUUAAAGUGGUACGCGAGCUGGGUUUAGAACGUCGUGAGACAGUUCGGUCCCUAUCUGCCGUGGGCGUUGGAAGAUUGAAAGGGGCUGCUCCUAGUACGAGAGGACCGGAGUGGACGCACCGCUGGUGUUCGGGUUGUCAUGCCAAUGGCACUGCCCGGUAGCUAAGUGCGGAAGAGAUAACCGCUGAAAGCAUCUAAGCGGGAAACUUGCC